rnacentral:rRNA from 1 species
AAUAGAUACCCAGGUAGUCCACGCCGUAAACGAUGUCGACUUGGAGGUUGUGCCCUUGAGGCGUGGCUUCCGGAGCUAACGCGUUAAGUCGACCGCCUGGGGAGUACGGCCGCAAGGUUAAAACUCAAAUGAAUUGACGGGGGCCCGCACAAGCGGUGGAGCAUGUGGUUUAAUUCGAUGCAACGCGAAGAACCUUACCUACUCUUGACAUCCAGAGAACUUAGCAGAGAUGCUUUGGUGCCUUCGGGAACUCUGAGACAGGUGCUGCAUGGCUGUCGUCAGCUCGUGUUGUGAAAUGUUGGGUUAAGUCCCGCAACGAGCGCAACCCUUAUCCUUUGUUGCCAGCGAUUCGGUCGGGAACUCAAAGGAGACUGCCAGUGAUAAACUGGAGGAAGGUGGGGAUGACGUCAAGUCAUCAUGGCCCUUACGAGUAGGGCUACACACGUGCUACAAUGGCAUAUACAAAGAGAAGCGACCUCGCGAGAGCAAGCGGACCUCAUAAAGUAUGUCGUAGUCCGGAUUGG